rnacentral:rRNA from 1 species
UACGAAGGGGGCUAGCGUUGUUCGGAAUUACUGGGCGUAAAGCGCACGUAGGCGGAUAUUUAAGUCGGGGGUGAAAGCCCGAGGCUCAACCUCGGAACUGCCUUCGAUACUGCGGGUCUCGAGUCCGGGAGAGGUGAGUGGAAUUCCUAGUGUAGAGGUGAAAUUCGUAGAUAUUAGGAAGAACACCAGUGGCGAAGGCGGCUCACUGGCCCGGUACUGACGCUGAGGCGCGAAAGCGUGGGGAGCAAACAGG